UACGUAGGUGGCGAGCGUUGUCCGGAUUUACUGGGCGUAAAGGGAGCGUAGGCGGAUUUUUAAGUGAGAUGUGAAAUACUCGGGCUCAACUUGAGUGCUGCAUUUCAAACUGGAAGUCUAGAGUGCAGGAGAGGAGAAUGGAAUUCCUAGUGUAGCGGUGAAAUGCGUAGAGAUUAGGAAGAACACCAGUGGCGAAGGCGAUUCUCUGGGCUGUAACUGACACUGAGGCUCGAAAGCAUGGGGAGCAAACAGG
rnacentral:rRNA from 1 species